rnacentral:lncRNA from 1 species
UUUUUUUUUUUUUUUUUUUUUGCAUCCGCUACAAGGGGAGUCAUUUUGUCCGGGGGUUACCGACUAGUUUAUAAUUUUAAAUGAAGAAACCAACUAUAAGGUGCCAUAAACAACCGCUGAUUUUUUGCCGAAAUUAAAAAAUUACUUUUGCAACCGCUCAAGUCUUGGUUUAGCGGUCAAGACAAUCGAAACAGACUUAUAGCUGUUUGUUUGAUAGAACAACAACAUCAAUGAGACAGCCAGUGAGACAUAUAUAGCAGUUCCAAGUAUGGAUCCAUUCUAGUUUGAAAUGAUCAACUCCUGCUGUAGAUCCAACAAUCCCAUACUUCAGCUGUUCAUUGCAAACAAAUUUAGUGAAAAAUUAAAGAUCCUGUUGUUGCUGAUCAUUAAACUGUGCAUCCACCAUCAACCACAAGAUUAUGCCCUGUGAUAAAUGUAGAAUCAUCGGAGGCAAGGAAUAAAGCAGCAUCAGCAACAUGAUCAACUUUCAGUAUAGCUUCUUUCAAGGAAGUCUGAGGCUGAUGAAUCUUCUCUAAUUCCUCAACAUCCAUAUGAAAAUAGUUGCACGCUAAUGGUGUAGCAACAACAAAUGGUGAAACAGCGUUGACUCUAAUCCCAUGUGGCCCCAACUGCUUACUAGCACAUCUCAUCAGCCCCAGAACUGCAUGUUUCGACAUGUAAUAAUCUGUCGAAACUUCUCCAGCUGUAGUGGCUGCUAUACUCGCCGUGCAAACUAUGCUGCCCUUUACUCCCCUUUCCACCAUCGCUUUUGCAGCAUGUUUUACACAUGCCGUCAUGCCUCGUACGUUGAUAGCAAAGAGUUGAUCAAGUUCUGAGAAGUCAAGAUCGAUCACCAAUUGAUUUGACUUGCUAAAUACUCCAGCAUUGCUGAACAUGACAUCUAGUUGGCCGUAAGUUUGGAUGGUUGAAUCUAUCAUUCUCUGGACUUGCUCUUCAUCAGCUACAUCACAACGGACAUAGCUGCAGUUUUUUGAACCAAUCGAUUCAGCCACGGUUCGGCCCUUUUCGUCUUGGAUGUCAGCGAUCACAACUUUGGCACCAUGGUUGGCAAAAAGUCGAGCAGUUGCCUCGCCGAUGCCGCUAGCACCACCUGUUACGACGGCAACUUUGGCUUCCAGCUUUUUGGUGAUGCUAGAAGGUUGUUGCGCCAUCUCUCUCGAGGAAAAGAAGAAAAAAAAAAGAUUUUUUUUUUCAGGAAGCUAGUUCUUCUUUAGGAGAAAUUAUAGUUGUACAAUGCAUGUAAAACUUCAAGGAUUGCUGCUUUAUAAUACUACCAUAUGUCCCACCCUUGCCUAAUCGUGCGCCAUUGUGCCUAUAGAGUAUUUUACUCUAUAAUUGGAAGUCCAAACAAGUUGCCAACUCAUGUUGGAAGGCAUUAUGUACUUGGAAUCUCUGAUGUUUUCUAGGUAAUACUUAAUGAGCCCAAGUCAACGAUGGAGAGUUGGUGUGUUGAGAAUUGGGAAUUUUAUGCAGGCCUAUAAUUUACAGAACAAAUUGAUGAUCCCAGAAUCCAUUUAGCAGUGGUCUAACAUGUUGUGUUAUCUCACCCACUUAACAGACUAUCGUUUGAUUCAAGCCUCCAAUCCAGAGUCUAAUAUGUUCUCUGACAGAUUCAAGCCUCCAAUGCAGAGAUUUCAAUUGAUUAGAGCAUUUCUCAAGAGGAUCGGCUGGUUUGCAACUUUAAUAACCAAACAAAACAGCUCCUUUAUUAUUAUUAUUUUUUGGGGUCCGUUCAGGAAAAUUUAAGUCAAGAGCAGCUGGCAGAACUGGACGUAAGCUGAUUGGGCUAAGUCUGGCCUUGAAUUAGCCAACCACUUGGGGCCUGAUCAAUGUUCAUGCCGUAGAGAUUAAUGUUGCAUUCCUAAAUAAUCACAACCACAAUCCUCUGGGAGAAACUCCCAUUUGAGAGGCCGAAUCUGUCAGUCAUGAACUGUAGAGUGAUUUGAUAUCAAAGUUGUCACAGAAUGAGAUGAAGCGCCAGGCAGUCCAGAAAAUACAGGGGACGACGUCUUACUAUCCAUGUUAACUAGUUAAUAUACCAAAUUCCAAAUGUUAAAACCCCCAUGAUAAUACUGAAUCCAAGUUCAUGACUUCAUUCAUAUUUCAUUCAAUUAACACACCAUGCAAGUAUUGUAAUUGAUGAAGGGAGGGGUGUUCGCUUGAGGACUUGAAGCCUUUGAAAUGAAGCUUGCAUUUGGGGGAAAUAAUCAAAUCUAGCAUGAUCCCUCAAAAAAAAAAAAUUUUUUUUUUUUUUUUUGGAUAAGCAAGAUAACUUCAUUUAAUUCACUGAAAGCUGACACUCCAAGAAAUACAGCAAGUAGAAGGGAUGGUCUGAUUCCUUAUUUUGAUAACAAGUAGAAUGUGUCAGGAAAUAGAGUCUUGUUCCUCCCAAUUCAUCCAUCAUACGCGGGCUUGUUUUGGACCAUAUCCGCAACUUGGACAACAUAUCGAGAGAUUGAACAAUCUUUACAAAUUAACCUCCGCUUAACAGAGUUAGAAGUACUUUUGCUAUGGUUUCAAUCUGAGUAAAAAAGCAAAAGAAACAACAUCCAGGAUGAGUCUAAAGACUGAACUAUAUGAUCAGAAUACAUUGCUGGCCUACUUAAAAGUAAGGCACUUAUCUAUCAAACUCGUGUAUUUGACAAGUUUUCUGGUCAGGGGUUCAUGAUCCCUCCAUCAUUGAUGAAUUCAUGGUGCUGUGGAGUGCUCUAUUCCGAA